rnacentral:lncRNA from 1 species
CUUUUUCUCUUAAAUCUUUUAUUCCAUAGAUUCCCCUUCCAUGUCCCUCUCUGUUUUGUUAUCCUGGCAAUCAGUUGAAAAACUGAGUACUUUGUCCUGUAGAUUUUUAUGGAUUGGAUGCCUGUGGUCCUCUGUAACAGUAUCCUCCAUUUUCUGUUUCUUGUAAAUUAGUACAGUCAUGCCCCUCAUAACAAAAUAUUCUGUCAACGAUGAACCAUUAUGGAUGGUAGUCCCAUAAGAUUAUAAUAGA